GACGAACGCUGGCGGCGUGCUCAACACAUGCAAGUCGAACGGAAAGGCCCUGCUUUUGUGGGGUGCUCGAGUGGCGAACGGGUGAGUAACACGUGAGUAACCUGCCCUUGACUUUGGGAUAACUUCAGGAAACUGGGGCUAAUACCGGAUAGGAGCUCCUGCUGCAUGGUGGGGGUUGGAAAGUUUCGGCGGUUGGGGAUGGACUCGCGGCUUAUCAGCUUGUUGGUGGGGUAGUGGCCUACCAAGGCUUUGACGGGUAGCCGGCCUGAGAGGGUGACCGGCCACAUUGGGACUGAGAUACGGCCCAGACUCCUACGGGAGGCAGCAGUGGGGAAUAUUGCACAAUGGGCGGAAGCCUGAUGCAGCAACGCCGCGUGCGGGAUGACGGCCUUCGGGUUGUAAACCGCUUUCGCCUGUGACGAAGCGUGAGUGACGGUAAUGGGUAAAGAAGCACCGGCUAACUACGUG
rnacentral:rRNA from 1 species